ACGCUCGACACCUACGGGAGGCAGCAGUGGGGAAUAUUGCACAAUGGGGGGAACCCUGAUGCAGCGACGCCGCGUGAGUGAAGAAGUACUUCGGUAUGUAAAGCUCUAUCAGCAGGGAAGAAAAUGACGGUACCUGACUAAGAAGCCCCGGCUAACUACGUGCCACCAGCCGCGGUAAUCUGAGCGGGCUGGCAAGGC
rnacentral:rRNA from 1 species